AUAUAAAUUUACGUAUUAUUAUUUGUACCACGUAUGCAGAUAAUAAUGUUCCGACUGAAUGUGUUUGUAGGAGUUUUUCUUUUAAUCUACUAUGUGGGUAUUGCAACAGCUACUCCAACCACGGAUGAAGGUUGUGAUGCUAUUCAGGGCAAGUGUCAAAAUGUGACGUUCGCACGUUGUUUUGGUGCCAUUAAAUACUAUGAGUUGUUAUGUGCAGGAAAAUUUAUGUCUUGCUGUGCCAGGAAAACUGCUAAAGAGAAAGACUGCCAGGCACAAGGAGGCUCUUGUGAAUACCACUGUGUAGGAUCGAAACCACAUGCAAAUAUUUGUGAAGGUCACAUGUCUUGCUGCAUAGCAUUCAAUUAGCAGCAGUUAUUACAGAUUGAUAAACGAAAUAAAUAUCUUACAUAUAUGAAGAAUAGAAAUAUGACUUUAAAUAAAAUUAAUGCAAUAAAUUUUAC